UAGGGAAUAUUGCACAAUGGGGGAAACCCUGAUGCAGCGACGCCGCGUGAGUGAUGAAGGCCUUCGGGUCGUAAAGCUCUGUCGUAUGGGACUAACAAAAUGAAGGUACCAUGCAAGAAAGGAUCGGCUAACUUCGUGCCAGCAGCCGCGGUAAGACGAGGGAUCCUAGCGUUGUUCGGAAUUAUUGGGCGUAAAGCGGGUGUAGGCGGACCUAUAAGUCAGGUGUGAAAUCCCAGGGCUCAACCCUGGAAGUGCACUUGAUACUGCAAGUCUUGAGUGUGGUAGAGGCUAUUAGAAUUCCUGGUGUAGUGGUGAAAUACGUAGAUAUCAGGAGGAAUACCGGAGGCGAAGGCGGAUAGCUGGGCCAACACUGACGCUGAGACCCGAAAGCGUGGGGAUCAAACAGGAUUAGAUACCCAUGUAGUCCCUGAGCGGGCUGGCAAGGCGCAU
rnacentral:rRNA from 1 species